GGCAUUUGAUUGAGAGCUUAAAACAAGAGUUCCACAGAUGAGGAGAAGAAAGAAGCUUUCACUCCAGGCAGGAGGAACAGUGUGAGGGUGAAUACAGAGUAUGGUAGAGGAAAACAGAAUGGUCUGGUGUAGUGUAUGGGAGUGGGGAAUGGGAGGAGGGGUUAGAAACGUGGAGAAAUCAGACUAGACAAGUAGGUUAGAUGCAAAUCAUGAAGGACACUGAUUCCUGAAUGAAACCCUAAAGAGCUUCUACCUAAUGUUCUAAAUCUUAGUCUGCUCUCAGGGAUUUUAAAGCAGGGAAUGAGUGAUCUAAUCUGCAAUUUGGAAAAUAAUCCCUAGAAAAAGAAAAUAACAUAAUAUCAGAAAUAGAGACUCUAAAGGAGAAUAGUGAAGAGAUUGUUGUAAUGGUCUAGCCAAGAGAUAACAAAAGAGGAACAAGGGGAGGGACAGAGAGAAUGGAGAGGAGGGCAGCAUCAUGGAGCCAGCUGAGUGUAGAAACCAUGUCUGGAAUUCAAGCAAUUACCACUGUUACAUGAUUUUCCUCUAACACAUUCUGUAGCCCUGAGCAAGAAAGGGUAACAAACCAGCCAACAAAUGGGAGGUUUUUCCUGAGUGCAUGAUGAGAAAGGCAGGUGCUACUGGAAAUCACUGGGUUACUGGGACUAAGAACAUUGGUGAGCAUGUUGGGUGGGUGAUUUUUCACAAAUCCGGAUGGGAGGAAAGGAAGAAUCUAAAGGAACAGCAAGGACUCACAAGAACAGAUGUCCAAUGAGGCUAAAGAAUGGGUUACAAAAAGAAAAAGAAAGCAGAAAAAGGAUUUCAAAAUUCAGGAUUUCAAAGAUUGAGUCAUUUUAUAUGUGACAAGGCUCCAGAACUGCCAGGAAAGCUGCAGAACAGAGGUCUGAAAACAUAAGAGAAGCCAGGAAAAUGCAAGUCCUUCCUCCUGACCCUAGAAAAUCUCUGCUGCCAAGGCUGGGACUCUGCUGCCAACUUCAGGCCUGGGAAAACCAAGACUCCAGGAGCUCUACCUCUAGGAUUCUUCCAAACAUCUCACCAUGUCCUCUGAUACCUCUGUAGUCAUCUGCCACAACCUACUUCUGAAUAAAUCCUACAUUCCACCUU
rnacentral:lncRNA from 1 species